AUUGCUUCUCAGCCUUUUGGCUAAGAUCAAGUGCAGUAUCUGUUCUAUGAUUCUUUCUAAAUUUCCCCUGUUAAAAGCAAGCAUUAGACAGCAUUAAAUGUGAAGUUCUUUCUGACUUUGUGGUUAUACAAAAAUUCCCAGUGGGAACAGGAAACACACAAACAGGCCUGUUCCCAAAAACUAAA